UACGGGGGAUGCAAGCGUUGUCCGGAUUUAUUGGGUUUAAAGGGUGCGUAGGCGGUUUGAUAAGUCAGUGGUUAAAUUAAGCAGCUCAACUGUUUGCAUGCCAUUGAUACUGUCAGACUUGAGACUUGAGGGGGUAAGCGGAAUUGGUAGUGUAGCGGUGAAAUGCAUAGAUACUACCAGGAAUAUCGAUAGCGAAGGCAGCUUACUACACAAGGACUGACGCUGAGGCACGAAAGCGUGGGGAUCAAACAGG
rnacentral:rRNA from 1 species